AUGGUACUCCUCCCAAAAACCCAGGCGCCAACAUCUCCAGACGCUUUUAGACCUAUCUCUCUACAAAACUGCACUCCAAAAGCCGUUGCCAAAGUUCUCACAAAUAGAGUAAAACCACUCAUCCCGCUGCUCAUUCAUUAUGAUCAAACGGGCUUCCUACAUGGACGCAACAUUGCUGAAAAUUUCAUUUAUGCUGCUGAUAUCCUAAGUGCUUGCCACACACGUAAAGCCCCGACCAUGGUCUUCAAACUUGAUUUCAGGAAAGCUUUUGACUCCAUAUGCUGGUCCUCCCUCAUUGAAAUCCUACAAGCUCGAGGGUUCACUCCCAUUUUCUGUUCAUGGGUCCAAAACAUCCUACACACUGGGAAAACAGCUAUCCUCUUAAAUGGCAAUCCGGGGUCCUGGAUCCAAUGUAGAUGUGGCCUCCACCAAGGUGAUCCCUUCUCGCCAUACUUGUUCAUCAUCGUUGCAGACGUUCUUCAAAGACUGAUCGCCAACGCUUUCCAAACGAACGUACUUUGCCACUCACUAUGA
rnacentral:rRNA from 1 species